rnacentral:lncRNA from 13 species
AGGGACUAUGUUAUUCUAAAUAAUUAACAGGCAUUACUUUAUGGAUAUGAGGACUUGGGAGGCAAUGUGUCCACUUUCGGCUUCUUAUGGUUUAUUGCUUGUGUUCAUUUUGGACCCUUGUUACCUUCAUUGUAAAAUAUUAACUUAAGUAUUUACACUUGGUAACUUACUUACUGGGUGUAACUGUAACUUACUUCCCCUAGCUUACUGUGUGUGACUGUAACUUACUUACAUUGAUCUAUUGGGUGUAACCUAAUUACUGAAAGUAACCUACUUAUUGGGCAUAACCUACUUAAUGGGAUUAACUUACUUACUGAGUGUAACUUAGUGGGCGUAACUUGCUUACUGUAACUUAAGUACGUUGAUCUGGUGUAAACAACUUUGACUUCAGAAAAGUAUAUAAGGAAACAUAUUGCAAAAAUAAAAUUGCUGCUUGGACAUAGCCUAAGCCAGCCCUCCAGACUCCGCUUUUCUAUUUUCUUUCACUUCUGCGCACUCUCUUCCUCAGGUUGAACGAGACAUCUACGUUGGCAGUCUUGGGGACUCCUGCAGACAUAGUGUUCCCCCGCUCUGGAGGAUGCAGCCCUCAACGUGCCAUGUUGGAGGCAGAGAAACUGGACCCUGACCUACUGGUGCUUGACCUUGGACUUCCCAGCCUCCAGAACUGCAAGAAAUAAAUUUCUGUUCUUUAUAAAUGAUCCAAUCUGUGGUAUUCUGCUAUAGCAGCACAAAACAGACUAAGACAGGCAUCAAGAUUAUUCUUGCUGCAUAGAUGAGUUGGGAAAUAGUCUAUCUUCUAUUUUCUGGAUGCUAUUUUUGUAAUAUUAGCAUAAUCUGCUGUUUUAAUGUUCAGUAGAACUUGCCCAGAAAACCGUAUGUGACUGGGGAGGCAACAUUUCAGCUUCAAUUUAUUUAAUAAAGGAAAAUUCAGCUGUCA